rfam:Aspergillus wentii DTO 134E9 unplaced genomic scaffold ASPWEscaffold_3, whole genome shotgun sequence.
GCCCGGGUGGUCUAGUGGUAUGAUUCUCGCUUUGUAAGUUCGCACAGGCAGCCAAAAUCAAAGUACUUCAACUAACAGCAACUCAAGGGGUUCACCAUCCGAUAUGCGAGAGGCCCCGGGUUCAAAUCCCGGCUCGGGCC